GGAGUGGCAUGGAAUAAAAGGCAAAGAAAUGGAAACCUGUGUGUCAUGAUCAUGGGCAGAGAAGCAGGCCUGAAUAAGUGGAAGCCAUGUGGCUUGUGGGAUUUUGCACUCAACAGUGAAAGGACAGAGCCCACUGGACCACCAAGGAAUUCUCUAUUCUGGAUACACGUGCUUUAUCA
rnacentral:lncRNA from 1 species